rnacentral:rRNA from 1 species
CGUGUCGUGAGAUGUGGGUUAAGUCCCGCAACGAGCGCAACCCUUGAUUUAGUUGCCAGCAUUCAGUUGGGCACUUAAGGUGACUGCCGGUGACAAACCGGAGGAAGGUGGGGAUGACGUCAAAUCAUCAUGCCCCUUAUGACCUGGGCUACACACGUGUACAAUGGGCAGAACAAAGGGCAGCGAAGCCGCGAGGUAAGCCAAUCCCACAAAUCUGUUUUCAGUUCGGAUCGCAGUCUGCAACUCGACUGCGUGAAGCUGGAAUCGCUAGUAAUCGCGGAUCAGCAUGCCGCGGUGAAUACGUUCCCGGGCCUUGUACACACCGCCCGGUCACACCACGAGAGUUUGUAACACCCGAAGUCGGUGAGGUAACCUUUUGGAGCCAGCCGCCGAAGGUGGGACAGA